GGAAUGACAUGCAGGCAAGGGCCAUGUACGAGCUCCUUGUGUCUGUGUGCGAGAAGACAGGUCAGACCGCUCCACCGAUGCCAAUGAUUGCUCCUGGGACCACGCGUAACUCCAGACAAGCAUCGCACGAUCCUUCUCCAGCUA